rnacentral:rRNA from 1 species
GACGAACCGUACGAACGUUAUUCGGAAUCACUGGGCUUAAAGGGUGCGUAGGCUGCGCAGCAAGUUGGGUGUGAAAUCCCUCGGCUUAACCGAGGAACUGCGCCCAAAACUGCUGUGCUCGAGGGAGAUAGAGGUGAGCGGAACUUAGGGUGGAGCGGUGAAAUGCGUUGAUAUCCUAAGGAACACCGGUGGCGAAAGCGGCUCACUGGACCAUAACUGACGCUGAUGCACGAAAGCUGGGGGAGCAAACAGG